rnacentral:lncRNA from 1 species
AAUAUUUAACAACCAGGUCGUUCUCAGGAAAGAGGGGGCUUUCCGAUAAGAAUUUCUCUUUAUUGGCGCGCAAUUAGAUGACCAAACCUGUGACACCCCUAAAAUAGGUAUACAUCACCCAUCUUGAGUCACCAGAUACAUGGUACAAAAUUCAAAUACAACUUAAUUAUACAACAGUCGUGCAAAAUACGACGACAUAUAUACUUUAAGUUUUAAUACAAAUAUUGUAACGUAUAUAAUAUGACAAUAUUCAUACUCAAAUUAAUACAUGCCAUAUAAAGUACAGCAGCAAAUAUUUCAA